AUUUAUUUUAAAGGGCCGCGGUAUACUGACCGUGCGAAGGUAGCAUAAUCAUUAGUCUUUUAAUUGAAGGCUUGUAUGAAUGGUUGGACAAAAAGCAAACUGUCUCAGUUGUAAUAAUUGAAUUUAACUUUUGAGUGAAAAGGCUUAAAUAAGUUAGGGGGACGAUAAGACCCUAUAAAGCUUGACAAUAAGCCGUUUAUAUUAUAAAUUGUUAGUAUAACUUGAUUUUAAAUGGUGUUUGUUGCGUUGGGGCGACGAGAAUAUAAAAGAUAACUGUUCUUAUAAUAUUUAAUAACAGAAAUAGCUGGAAAAUUAAUGAUCCUUUCUUUAAGAUCAUAAGAUUAAGUUACUUUAGGGAUAACAGCGUAAUCUUCCUUGAGAGUUCAUAUCGACAGGAAGGGUUGCGACCUCGAUGUUGAAUUAAGGUAUCCUUAUAAUGCAGCAGUUAUAAAG
rnacentral:rRNA from 1 species